UACGGAGGGUGCGAGCGUUAUCCGGAUUCACUGGGUGUAAAGGGUGCGUAGGUGGGCUGUUAAGUCAGUGGUGAAAUCUCCGGGCUCAACCCGGAAACUGCCAUUGAUACUAUCAGUCUUGAAUAUCGUUGAGGUAAGCGGAAUAUGUCAUGUAGCGGUGAAAUGCUUAGAUAUGACAUAGAACACCAAUUGCGAAGGCAGCUUGCUAACCGAAUAUUGACACUGAGGCACGAAAGCGUGGGGAUCAAACAGG
rnacentral:rRNA from 1 species